AGAGUUUGAUCCUGGCUCAGAUUGAACGCUGGCGGCACGCCUAACACAUGCAAGUCGAGCGGUAACGGGAUGUGUAGCAAUACACAUUGCUGACGAGCGGCGGACGGGUGAGUAACACGUAGGAACCUAUCUUUCAGAGGGGGACAACCAAGGGAAACUUUGGCUAAUACCGCGUAAUCUCGAGAGAGGAAAGCUGCCUUGAAAGGGGUGGUGCUGAAAGAGGGGCCUGCGUCCGAUUAGCUAGUUGGUGAGGUAAUAGCUUACCAAGGCGAUGAUCGGUAACUGGUCUGAGAGGACGACCAGUCACACUGGGACUGAGACACGGCCCAGACUCCUACGGGAGGCAGCAGUGGGGAAUAUUGGACAAUGGGGGCAACCCUGAUCCAGCGAUGCCGCGUGGGUGAAGAAGGCCUUCGGGUUGUAAAGCCCUUUAGGUUGGGAAGAAGUGUAUAUGAAGAUAAUGCAUAUACAUUGACGGUACCGACAGAAUAAGCACCGGCAAACUCUGUGCCAGCAGCCGCGGUAAUACAGAGGGUGCGAGCGUUAAUCGGAGUUACUGGGCGUAAAGGGCGCGUAGGCGGUUAUGUGAGUGUGAUGUGAAAGCCCUGGGCUUAACCUAGGAAGUGCAUCGCAAACGAUAUAACUGGAGUAUAUGAGAGGGUGGCGGAAUUUCCGGUGUAGCGGUGAAAUGCGUAGAGAUCGGAAGGAACGUCGAUGGCGAAGGCAGCCACCUGGCAUAAUACUGACGCUGAGGCGCGAAAGCGUGGGGAGCGAACAGGAUUAGAUACCCUGGUAGUCCA
rnacentral:rRNA from 1 species